GGCACAGGCAAUCCAAUGCAGAAGCCAGAUCCGCCUGCCAAGAACUUCAACUCUGUUCCAGUCCCCACCUCUCCUUCUGAGCCGUCAGUCCACCACUGAGCCCCGUGCCCCCAGGAGGCUGACCUCAUUCUUAACUCGAGAUAGGAAAUGUACCAGACGAGAAGCUGCAGAACAGUGCCAGCAAAUUCAGAUUCCCUGGACAAUGCUGAGUGCCCGGACUCAAGUUUCCUAAUGCCUGCAAAGCUCCUAAGUCACAGGCACUGUGAGCUAGUGGCAGCAGAGGGACCCGAGGGAGGACUACACGGCAAGAGGAAGAGUCUGCUUCUGUCAGUUAUACAGGAUGCCGCAGCGCAGGGACGGCUGUGUGAGUGCCUUACUCCCACACCUCAGAGAGCACACAGGGGACAACGCCACCCCAUUACAUAUGCAUUUACCAUCCUUGGUAUGUACAAGUGUCAGGGCGUUAUUCCUUGACUGCAUCCGUUUUCCACUUAAUUAAUCCCUGUACUUGCUCAGUGCUUACCCUGUGUCCCUCAGGCCCAUGCUGCCCAGGCUCCGUGAGCAGAAAGCACGGGCCUCAGCUCAGUCCACGCAGUCAAAUGUAAUCUGUAGUAAUAGCCACUAACGCUCACAGGCUUCUUU
rnacentral:lncRNA from 1 species